CGUUUAGAAGGCGGCGUAAGCUGUCGCUAAGGGAUGGCCCCCGCGGUGCAUUAGCUAGUUGGUAAGGUAACGGCUUACCAAGGCGACGAUGCAUAGCCGAGUUGAGAGACUGAUCGGCCACAUUGGGACUGAGACACGGCCCAAACUCCUACGGGAGGCAGCAGUGGGGAAUCUUCCGCAAUGGGCGCAAGCCUGACGGAGCAACGCCGCGUGAGUGAAGAAGGUUUUCGGAUCGUAAAGCUCUGUUGAGAGGGACGAGAGGCAAGGCUAGGAAAUGAGCUUUGUAGGACGGUACCUUUCGAGGAAGCCACGGCUAACUACGUG
rnacentral:rRNA from 1 species